GAAAGGAUAAGAGGAGAGAAAGAGAGCGCGGCUCUCAGAAGCUGUCUUCACCGCGGAGCCACCACAAGCACGCAGCCAGGCGCAGGUCGCUUCCUACCUGUCCAACUGUCUGGUCGCCGCCACCGGAGGGAGAUCAGAUGUUACUUUGUCCGCUGCAGCGCGUUGGCCGUGGCCACUGCGUCUCCACCAUGAUGCAUUGUUUUAGAUGAAGUUGCCCCGAGUCGUAUCCUGGUUCAGGGAGCAGGCGGCGGCGGUGAAGGAAGGCUUCACGUGUGGUGCAAGAUUUGUGUUACUGGAGAUGAGGCUGCUGAGUUUUCAGUGUGGUGGAGCAGAUCUUCAGGGAUUGGCACAUGGUGGCACCAUAUUCAUAAACAAUCCCCACAUGUUAAUGUAUUUUGCAUAGAAGUGUGUUUUUUGGCUUUAAGAAUUAAUAAUAUAUAAAUAUAU